UACGGAGGGUGCAAGCGUUGUCCGGAUUUAUUGGGUUUAAAGGGUGCGUAGGCGGCCUUAUAAGUCAGUGGUGAAAGCCCAUCGCUCAACGAUGGAACUGCCAUUGAUACUGUAAGGCUUGAGUACAGACGAGGUAGGCGGAAUUGAUGGUGUAGCGGUGAAAUGCAUAGAUACCAUCAAGAACACCGAUUGCGUAGGCAGCUUACUAGGCUGUAACUGACGCUGAGGCACGAAAGCGUGGGGAGCGAACAGG
rnacentral:rRNA from 2 species